AACGUCGUCAUCUAAAAAAAUACUAACGCGAGCAUUUUUUAAUCGAAAAUCAAAAUUCCAUCCUUCUGGGACCACACCCGGUUCCUGAGGAGAAGUGUUGGUCUUCUCUAUACGCUUGUGAGAUUUAUUUUCCCCAAAUAGAGAACUGCAAGCACGAUAAGCAUAAAAAAUACAGCAAUUAUGCAACAACGAUGCAAAACACCUAAGAAAAUUAAUCUCUGUAGUAAAUCGCGAAAUGGCUGUAUUAUCACGAAGGAUUGUGGACACGAUAAAGUUAAUGUUGGGGAUUUGCAAGAAUAAAUG